AACGUAGGACACAAGCGUUAUCCGGAGUUACUGGGCGUAAAGGGCGUGUAGGCGGAUCGGUAAGUCUACUCUGAAAGCUCCUGGCUAAACUGGGAGAGGCGAGUGGAGACUGUCGGUCUAGAGUGAGGAAGAGGAAAGUGGAAUUCCGCGUGUAGUGGUGAAAUGCGUAGAGAUGCGGAGGAACACCAGUGGCGAAGGCGACUACCUGGCCUGUUCUUGACGCUGAGGCGCGAAAGCUAGGGGAGCAAACGGG
rnacentral:rRNA from 1 species